rnacentral:rRNA from 1 species
GAUGAACGCUGGCGGCGUGCCUAAUACAUGCAAGUCGAGCGAAUGGAUUAAGAGCUUGCUCUUAUGAAGUUAGCGGCGGACGGGUGAGUAACACGUGGGUAACCUGCCCAUAAGACUGGGAUAACUCCGGGAAACCGGGGCUAAUACCGGAUAACAUUUUGAACCGCAUGGUUCGAAAUUGAAAGGCGGCUUCGGCUGUCACUUAUGGAUGGACCCGCGUCGCAUUCGCUAGUUGGUGAGGUAACGGCUCACCAAGGCAACGAUGCGUAGCCGACCUGAGAGGGUGAUCGGCCACACUAGGCAGAAGCCACGCGCCAGAAUCCUACAGGAGGGAGCAGUAGGGAAUCUUCCGCAAUGGACGAAAGUCUGACGGAGCAACGCCGCGUGAGUGAUGAAGGCUUUCGGGUCGUAAAACUCUGUUGUUAGGGAAGAACAAGUGCUAGUUGAAUAAGCUGACACCUUGACGGUACCUAACCAGAAAGCCACGGCUAACUACGUGCCAGCCGCCGCCGUAA